rnacentral:rRNA from 1 species
UACGAAGGGGGCUAGCGUUGCUCGGAAUCACUGGGCGUAAAGGGUGCGUAGGCGGGUUUUAAAGUCAGGGGUGAAAUCCUGGAGCUCAACUCCAGAACUGCCUUUGAUACUGAAGAUCUUGAGUCCGGGAGAGGUGAGUGGAACUGCGAGUGUAGAGGUGAAAUUCGUAGAUAUUCGCAAGAACACCAGUGGCGAAGGCGGCUCACUGGCCCGGUACUGACGCUGAGGCACGAAAGCGUGGGGAGCAAACAGG